UAAAUUAUGAGGUUCAGUCGGCCUACUUCUCGUCAGCAGCUCUGCCUCGAUCUCUUCUAAUUCCUCUUCUCGUUCCAGGCCUACUAUAUGCGGAGCCAAUCCAAACUUUCGCCAGAAAUCGACCCCCAGAUACAGUGAUUGCUUCAAUGACGGACACAAGAAUAACUCUAUCGGGUGCUUCUGGCCUUUGUAUGCCAUCACUACCGUCACAUGGCCUAGGAUCUGAUGAGGUGUGCCGCCCGCAGUUUGUACCGAUAUUGUUUUCACGCUCACUGAUGCCCCCGUAUCGAGCAGUCCCAUCAGCGUCUUCGGGCCCAGUCUCACGUGCGCAAACGGCCUCUCGUCCCGGCUUAAUGCAGAACGGAUUGCUGCACACACGCCACGUCGUUUCCUCUGGCGUAUCUGGAACCGGUCCCGAGCCCUCUUUGCUCUAGUCGACCUCGUUAGGAUUAUUUCCGCCACCUGGCCCCCCAGUAUUCUUCUUCUGGCCUGGUUAUAUCGCUGUCGUCUUUCCUGUAACGGCUUACGCUCGGACCAUCUCGCCUCAGGUAUGUCCUCUGUAUUGAGGAACUGAACUCUGAACUAUUGGUUGCUCGUUGAACGCGACUCCUCCAGUUGCAUCGUGCUCCUUCUCCCGUUUCCCGGACGACAUUUCGGACAUUUAGGGAGGAUUACUCCGGCAAACCCACACUUGUAGCAGAAUA